GUAAAAGGUUUAAUAUUCUUGUCUGAAUAUCAUCUUCUGUUAAUGGCUUAAUGCCAAGUAAUGCAAUGCUUCUCAUUAGAUGCUAACCAGUUGAUGUCAAGUUACCCCGUUGGCUUGUACAAUAGGCUGAUGAGGGUAAAGUUAGCAGAUCAUAAGUCCAUACAUCAAAAAUCUGUAAAGCCUCUAUGUAGCACAUUUCCCAAUCUAUGGAAAGCAUUAAAAAUAAGCCACCCCUUUUUAUGUAUGUUUGUGACUGUGGAGUUGAUGUUGUUAAGUUUGACCUAGAAAUCCGUUAAUUUUAUUAACUCAUAAUACACAUUUAUAUGUACAACUCAAAUCCCUAAAU
rnacentral:misc_RNA from 1 species